CCUCCAGCACACUUGAACCCAGAGAAGUAUCUCCACUAAAGCACACACAGCAGCCCUGCCACAUCUCAUCUGUAUUCAUGCUGCAUCUAGAAGUGUCAUCACACCAUCACACCUCCACCUCCAUGCUUCACUGUCAGGACCAUCCAUCCACUGUGGUAGUCCUGGUCAGGUUCUCACCAAACAUCUGGACUCCAUCUGAGCCCAACUCAUUGAUCUUCAUCUGACCAAAGAAUGUUCUCCGACAUCCAUCAGGCUUCUUCUCAUCUGGGAGUUUAGUUCUGAGCAGCAGCCAGGUUUAGUUCUGGUCCAGGUUUAGUUCUGGUCCUCUGUCCAUAGAGAUUGUUGUUCUGAAGGUUCUUUCACACUUUGCACCUUUGAGUUUCUACUUUGGAGCCCGAAUUUUCAGAGUUGUUUGUGAUUGUUCAUCAGAGGAAGUACUCUGCUGUUCUGCUUGUAAUCUGAUUACUGUGAGGGGAUGCAGUUUAGAACCAGUGAAUAUUUAAGUGAUAUUUUAUAAGACUUUCCUCUCACAUACAGAUACCGAUAAAAUAAAUCAGCAGCAGGAGAACAGAAGAAAACAUUACAGAUGAAAACUCACAGUUUCAGUCAAACUAAAGGAGCACUUUCUGUCCCAAGACAGAAGCUAAAUGCUAGAGGCUAAAUGCUAGAGGCUAAAUGCUAGAGGCUAAAUGCCAGAAGGUAAAUGCUAGAGGCUAAAUGCUAGAAGGUAAAUGCUAGAGGCUAAAUGCCAGAAGGUAAAUGCUAGAGGCUAAAUGCUAGAAGGUAAAUGCUAGAGGCUAAAUGCUAGAAGGUAAAUGCUAGAGGCUAAAUGCUAGAAGGUAAAUGCUAGAGGCUAAAUGCCAGAAGGUAAAUGCCAGAAGGUAAAUGCUAGAGGCUAAAUGCUAGAAGGUAAAUGCUAGAGGCUAAAUGCUAGAAGGUAAAUGCUAGAAGCUCAAUGCUAGAAGGUAAGUGCUAGAGGCUAAAUGCUAGAAGGGAAAUGCUACAAGCUAAAUGCUAUGAGCUAAUUGCUAGAAGGUAAAUGCUACAAGCUAUAUGCUAAUUACAGAGUGCUGUAAAUUCCCUGACUGCUGUUAAACAGGAUGUUCUGUAGUAAAA